CCCAAACAACUGAUGCCUUUGUUGAAUAUAAGUCCAAGAUGGUACAUGGCUUAAUGAUUUUCUUUUUCCACAGAAAAUAAUCAUCUUGCCUCUUGGCUUUCAGCAAUAUCUUCUGCCCUGGAUAUUUGCUCCCCUCCCCAGCUGGAAGAAUAUCCCACUGCUCAGUGACAAUUUGUACUUGUACAAAUCAUUGACCGAAUACCAAGUCAGGUGUACUUGGCCACUCUUUAAGGAACAAAAUCCUGGGACUGUCAGAUAAGAAGUCCACAUGGCAGCUUUCCAAUUGUAUUUAUCCACUCCAACUAAUUGAGUCACAUAAAUUCUUUAGAGUCCUUAUCGUCCAUAUGUGCGUGAAGAAGUGAAGACCUGUUAUUUCUGCAAGAUAAUGGGAAAACUCCUAGUUUACCAAGAGAGCACAGGAAGCCUGUAGCAGAACCAGAAACAAAUCCACCAUCUAAGCUCCAGGCACCAGCAGAGUGACCCAUACUUCCUAUUUUCCCAAGUCUGAGAGGAACAACAGUGGAGCAGUAGCGAAGAAACAGCUGGGGCUGUGAGAAGAUGCUGUGGAGAAGAUUGUUUUGCCAACAGAAAUGACUAUGUUUCAACUCAUUGUACUUUCCCACCUCCUCCUCCUUCAGCCUCCUCCCCAGUCCUUCACUGACUUUUCAUCUUUGCUCAUGGUUGGCAGCAUAAGGUAGCUCCCAUUUCCAUCCUGCUUACACUCUCUGAUGUGAUUCCUGCAGGAGCUGAUCUCAGGCAGCUCCUCCUUUCAUGUUCUUCUCUUCUCUUAGGCCUGAAACCCUCUCUGUCUACUUUGCUCAACCUCAGCUCCACCACAUCCACAAGGGCUGUGUAGA